GGAAAAUAAAGGAGCUGGGGAUUCCUGCAAGGCCCUGGGAGGGUCUACAGGUGGAGCUGCCCACCUCUGGAGGCCAGAGGCAGCCUCAGCCAGCAAGUAGGUAUGUCCCAGAGGGGAACAGGGCAGGGCUAAGGAACAACUCAAGUGGCCUAGAGCUUGAGAAAAGUCAACAGCGUGGGCACCAGGGAGCUGAAAGCCGCCUCCUCAAAGCCACCCCGUGUUAACCCUGUGUUAGCAUCUGUGUCUUCUGGGAAUUGUUUCACAGACGCUGUUUCACUUGAACCAGCACAGAAACUCUGCUAAGCCAGCCGUGAUCACAGUCUCUGUUUUCCUAGACAACCUGGGUGAUAGCCUGGUGCCAGUUACCAGUGACUGCCUCUCAGCCCCGAAUUUGCUGUCAAGGUCCAGAGGGAGGGUUUCCCAGGCGCUCUGCACAUUCAGACCACAGGGACUUCACCACUGUCUCACCUGCUCAGUGAUGUCCGGAUCUUGUGUUGGGGAGAAAGAAACUCUUUGGCCUCUCUCAGAACCCAAGAAAGUAAAAAACAAAAACUAAGGAACGUAACAUAAAGAACAGCCAGUGCUCCUGCCCCUGGAGUACGGCAUCCAGGGAAGACACAACUACCAGUUAAGAUCCAGACCUUGUUGGGGAAGGGGCCCAGCAGUGGCACAAAAGUACCCCUGUACUCUGAGACGGGGCUGUGGCUCAGCGGCAGAGCACUUUGCCUGGCAUGUGUGAG
rnacentral:lncRNA from 1 species